rnacentral:lncRNA from 1 species
UUUGAAUUGUUCAUGUUUUAUUUUCACUAGUUAAUGCAAGAAAGCAAUAGUGGGUUAUGUUUUUAAGAUGAUAAGAUUAUUCAUUGACUUGCAAAUUCAACUGACUCUUUGUACACAGGUGUUGUAUUAACAAUUGAGGGAGUUUGUUCGGGCGAUAAGGAUUGUAGAGAUCUUAGGUGCUCACAUGGUCAUUUUCAAUGUGUUA